rnacentral:rRNA from 1 species
GGACGGGGAUAAACUCGGGAAACUGAGAAUAAUACCCGAUAGAACAUUAUGCCUGGAAUGGUUUAUGUUUCAAAUAAUUUAUUGCCGUAGGAUGGGACUGCGGCCUAUCAGUUUGUUGGUGAGGUAAUGGCCCACCAAGACUAUUACAGGUACGGGCUCUGAGAGGAGUAGCCCGGAGAUGGGUACUGAGACACGGACCCAGGCCCUAUGGGGCGCAGCAGGCGAGAAAACUUUGCAAUGUGCGAAAGCACGACAAGGUUAAUCCGAGUGGUUUCUGCUAAAGGAACCUUUUGUCAGUCCUAGAAACACUGAUGAAUAAGGGGUGGGCAAGUUCUGGUGUCAGCCGCCGCGGUAAAACCAGCACCUCAAGUGGUCAGGAUGAUUAUUGGGCCUAAAGCAUCCGUAGCCUGCUUUGUAAGUUUUCGGUUAAAUCCAUACGCUCAACGUAUGGGCUGCCGGGAAUACUGCACAGCUAGGGAGUGGGAGAGGUAGACGGUACUCGGUAGGAAGGGGUAAAAUCCUUUGAUCUAUUGAUGACCACCUGUGGCGAAGGCGGUCUACCAGAACACGUCCGACGGUGAGGGAUGAAAGCUGGGGGAGCAAACCGGAUUAGAUACCCGGGUAGUCCCAGCUGUAAACUAUGCAAACUCAGUGAUGCAUUGGCUUGAUGCCAAUGCAGUGCUGCAGGGAAGCCGUUAAGUUUGCCGCCUGGGAAGUACGUACGCAAGUAUGAAACUUAAAGGAAUUGGCGGGGGGAGCACCACAAGGGGUGAAAGCCUGCGGUUCAAUUGGAGUCAACGCCGGGA